rnacentral:rRNA from 1 species
GGUUGACCUCGGAUCAGGUAGGAAGACCCGCUGAACUUAAGCAUAUCAAUAAGCGGAGGAAAAGAAACCAACAGGGAUUGCCCUAGUAACGGCGAGUGAAGCGGCAACAGCUCAAAUUUGAAAUCUGGCUUCGGCCCGAGUUGUAAUUUGUAGAGGAUGCUUUGGGCGCGGCUCUAACUGAGUUCCCUGGAACGGGACGCCACAGAGGGUGAGAGCCCCGUAUAGUUAGAUGCCUAGCCUAUGUAAAGCUCCUUCGACGAGUCGAGUAGUUUGGGAAUGCUGCUCUAAAUGGGAGGUAAAUUUCUUCUAAAGCUAAAUAUUGGCCAGAGACCGAUAGCGCACAAGUAGAGUGAUCGAAAGAUGAAAAGCACUUUGAAAAGAGGGUUAAAUAGCACGUGAAAUUGUUGAAAGGGAAGCGCUUGUGACCAGACUUGCGCCGGGCAGAUCAUCCGGUGUUCUCACCGGUGCACUCUGCCCGGCUCAGGCCAGCAUCGGUUCUCGUGGGGGGAUAAAGGUCCCGGGAACGUAGCUCCUCCGGGAGUGUUAUAGCCCGGGGCGUAAUGCCCUCGUGGGGACCGAGGUUCGCGCAUCUGCAAGGAUGCUGGCGUAAUGGUCAUCAGCGACCCGUCUUGAAACACGGACCAAGGAGUCAAGGUUUUGCGCGAGUGUUUGGGUGUAAAACCCGCACGCGUAAUGAAAGUGAACGUAGGUGAGAGCUUCGGCGCAUCAUCGACCGAUCCUGAUGUAUUCGGAUGGAUUUGAGUAAGAGCGUUAAGCCUUGGACCCGAAAGAUGGUGAACUAUGCUUGGAUAGGGUGAAGCCAGAGGAAACUCUGGUGGAGGCUCGCAGCGGUUCUGACGUGCAAAUCGAUCGUCAAAUCUGAGCAUGGGGGCGAAAGAUGUAAUCGAGC